UUAGAGUUUGAUCCUGGCUCAGGAUGAACGCUAGCGGCAGGCUUAACACAUGCAAGUCGAGGGGCAGCGAGAUCAGUGCUUGCACUGAUUGUCGGCGACCGGCGCACGGGUGCGUAACGCGUAUGCAACCUACCCAUUACAGGGGGAUAACACUGAGAAAUCGGUACUAAUACCCCAUAACAUCCAGGGAGGCAUCUUCUUGGGUUGAAAACUCCGGUGGUAAUGGAUGGGCAUGCGUUGUAUUAGUUAGUUGGUGGGGUAACGGCUCACCAAGACAACGAUACAUAGGGGGACUGAGAGGUUAACCCCCCACAUUGGUACUGAGACACGGACCAAACUCCUACGGGAGGCAGCAGUGAGGAAUAUUGGUCAAUGGACGCAAGUCUGAACCAGCCAUGCCGCGUGCAGGAAGACGGCUCUAUGAGUUGUAAACUGCUUUUGUACGAGGGUAAACGCAGAUACGCGUAUCUGUCUGAAAGUAUCGUACGAAUAAGGAUCGGCUAACUCCGUGCCAGCAGCCGCGGUAAUACGGAGGAUUCAAGCGUUAUCCGGAUUUAUUGGGUUUAAAGGGUGCGUAGGCGGUCGGAUAAGUUAGAGGUGAAAUCCCGGGGCUCAACUUCGGAAUUGCCUCUGAUACUGUUCGGCUAGAGAGUAGUUGCGGUAGGCGGAAUGUAUGGUGUAGCGGUGAAAUGCUUAGAGAUCAUACAGAACACCGAUUGCGAAGGCAGCUUACCAAGCUACUUCUGACGUUGAGGCACGAAAGCGUGGGGAGCAAACAGGAUUAGAUACCCUGGUAGUCCACGCAGUAAACGAUGAUAACUCGUUGUCGGCGAUACAGUGUCGGUGACUAAGCGAAAGCGAUAAGUUAUCCACCUGGGGAGUACGUUCGCAAGAAUGAAACUCAAAGGAAUUGACGGGGGCCCGCACAAGCGGAGGAACAUGUGGUUUAAUUCGAUGAUACGCGAGGAACCUUACCCGGGCUUGAAAGUUAGUGACGGAUCUUGAAAGAGGUCUUCCCUUCGGGGCACGAAACUAGGUGCUGCAUGGUUGUCGUCAGCUCGUGCCGUGAGGUGUCGGGUUAAGUCCCAUAACGAGCGCAACCCCUACCGUUAGUUGCCAGCAGGUCAAGCUGGGCACUCUGACGGGACUGCCGGUGUAAGCCGAGAGGAAGGUGGGGAUGACGUCAAAUCAGCACGGCCCUUACGUCCGGGGCUACACACGUGUUACAAUGGCAGGUACAGAGGGCAGCUACCCAGCGAUGGGAUGCGAAUCUCGAAAGCCUGUCUCAGUUCGGAUUGGAGGCUGAAACCCGCCUCCAUGAAGUUGGAUUCGCUAGUAAUCGCGCAUCAGCCAUGGCGCGGUGAAUACGUUCCCGGGCCUUGCACACACCGCCCGUCAAG
rnacentral:rRNA from 1 species